rnacentral:rRNA from 1 species
GAUCCUGGCUCAGGAUGAACGCUGGCGGCGUGCUUAACACAUGCAAGUCGAACGGAGUUUUUAAGUGGAAGUUUUCGGAUGGAAGUUUAAAAACUUAGUGGCGGACGGGUGAGUAACGCGUGGGUAACCUGCCUCAUACAGGGGGAUAACAGUUAGAAAUGACUGCUAAGACCGCAUAAUAUAGCGAAACCGCAUGAUUUUGCUAUCAAAUAUUUAUAGGUAUGAGAUGGGCCCGCGUCUGAUUAGCUAGUUGGUGGGGUAAAGGCCUACCAAGGCGACGAUCAGUAGCCGGCUUGAGAGAGUGACCGGCCACAUUGGGACUGAGACACGGCCCAAACUCCUACGGGAGGCAGCAGUGGGGAAUAUUGGACAAUGGGGGAAACCCUGAUCCAGCCGACGCCGCGUGAGUGAAGAAGUAUUUUGGUAUGUAAAGCUCUAUCAGCAGGGAAGAUAAUGACAGUACCUGACUAAGAAGCCCCGGCUAACUACGUGCCAGCCGCGGC